ACGCAUGCAGCCGAACCGGCCCGCGUCGAGUUCAGGGGGCUGCCGGAGAUCGCACUCGUCGUCUUCACUUCGGGUCGACGGCGAGUCACGGUCUUCGGCACCCCUGCACUCUCGGCGUUUCGGGCCGGCCAAGCGCGGCGGGUGUUGGGCGAGGAGCGCGUUCGGGCAGGUACCGCAGCCGCCUGGCGGAGGCGAACUUAUAGCCGAGCGCGCGGAGCGUCCGAGACCCACCGAGGAGAGCGGUGGCACUUCCACCCCAGCAGCGCAGGCCGUCUCGACGGCAGGGGCGCUCUCGUCCGUUCGACCGCCGCACCGUGCCACUGCCUGCAGUGGCCGGGGCAGGCGGGCCGUUCGGGAGGGAGGUCGUCCACUCCUUGCGCUCUGGCCGC
rnacentral:rRNA from 1 species